GAGGAGAAGAAGAAGAAGAAAGAAGAAGAAGAGGAACUGAAAGAAAUAAAGAAAAAAGAAAGAGAUAGUCUUCAAAUGAACAGAAAGCAAAGGUCUGAAAAGGAACAGCUAAGGGAUCCCUAAGGGAUCUACCAGCUCUUGGGAGCUUCUUUCUGUGAGUGAUUGAACUCAAGAUGUGAAAUUACAGGAACAGAGUCUGAGCUACCCUGGACUCAAGCAUCUUUGGUUGAGGGAAGCAGGGCACUUUGACCUACAAUCUUGCUAAUGUAAUGAUGCCCAAGCAUGUGGUCAGGUCCCUGGAUACUGAGAAAAAGGAAACCAAUGUCUACUCAGCACCUCUUAUGGUGGCUGAGGAACCGCUACCCCAAAAUGGAUAUUGACACAGGGGAUACUGUGACUCUGAGGUGGGAUAGCAUAUUCUACAAAUAAAGAGGAGAGAAAAGGAGCGAGCUACAGGGAACAUACGUCUAGAGAAAUGGCAUGAUUUCAAAGGAUUAAGACUCUUCUGCUCCUCUCACACAGUGAUUCUAACAUUGUCCAUGGGGUAAUGAGAUGCUUCCCAGACCAAUAGAUCUAAGGCAGGGGACAAAUUUCCUGCCAAGGGACACCUAUUAAGGUGUCUUUAGGUUUUACAAACCCUGUUGCGACUCUUCAACUCUUCCAUGGGAAUGUGAAAACUACCUCAGGCCAACCGUCACAGUAGACUCAUAAGUAACUGGGUGUGGCUAGGGUUCAGUAAGACUUUAUAAGAACAGGCAGUAGUGAAAUUUGGCUCAGAGGCUCAACCUUGCUGAGCCCUGGCCUUGGAAGACUUCUGUUCUGUUGUAGCUUGAUGGGCCUGCUUCAGGUGAGUUAAAUGGCUUCUUUAGGAGCUGAGUCCUUGAGUGCGCUUGUAAGAAGACAUGAAGCUGUUCCUAAUGCAGAGGAAAGACCAGGGACUGUCUGCAGGAUGGCUGGGUUCAUAGCCUGUCUCAGCUACUUCACUGUAAGGGACAUCUGCUACACUCGACCUUCCUGGGCCUGGGGUUCUUCCCUUCUGCAGUGGAGAAUAGGUGAGAACUCAUCUCAGAAGAGACACCAUGACGUAAUCCAAGAAACAGAAGCAGUGUGCUUUUCAAACCUCUGCUUUCCAUAUAAAGCCUGCACAUUUCUGCAUGUUUCUUGCUCCUUCUUCUACCCAAACCAGCUUACCAUGGACUUUUUCACACUCUAAAGACUGGUGUGCAGUGCCGGGGCUUGGUGCUACAGGAAGCUGGUACUCUCAUUUGCUGCAGGAUGGUUGGCCACACGGUGAAACCCAAGACUGUGCUAUUUAUUGAAAAUACCCGUUUCUAGCUGUGCUGUGGCUCAGCCUUAGCUCCCACCUUUAAUCCCUCUGGCUGGAAUACAGACACGCCCUUAGUCCACACCUUUAAUCCCAACAAUGAAUUUAAAGUUAGUUUGUAGAAGGAA